rnacentral:rRNA from 1 species
AUGAACGCUGGCGGCGUGCCUAAUACCUGCCAGUCGAGCGAACAGACGAGGAGCUUGCUCCUCUGACGUUAGCGGCGGACGGGUGAGUAACACGUGGAUAACCUACCUAUAAGUCUGGGAUAACUUCGGGAAACCGGAGCUAAUACCGGAUAAUAUAUUGAACCGCAUGGUUCAAUAGUGAAAGACGGUUUUGCUGUCACUUAUAGAUGGAUCCGCGCCGCAUUAGCUAGUUGGUAAGGUAACGGCUUACCAAGGCAACGAUGCGUAGCCGACCUGAGAGGGUGAUCGGCCACACUGGAACUGAGACACGGUCCAGACUCCUACGGGAGGCAGCAGUAGGGAAUCUUCCGCAAUGGGCGAAAGCCUGACGGAGCAACGCCGCGUGAGUGAUGAAGGUCUUCGGAUCGUAAAACUCUGUUAUUAGGGAAGAACAAAUGUGUAAGUAACUAUGCACGUCUUGACGGUACCUAAUCAGAAAGCCACGGCUAACUACGUG